rnacentral:rRNA from 1 species
CCCUCUCUGUAGAAGUCGCCGCACGGUAGCUGGCCAAGUCCUGUUUCUUGUAUUGGGGGUCUUGAAACUAGAUAAAAGUCCGCAUACAUGGUGAUCAAGCUAGUUAUUAUUUAGGCUUCGGAGAAAGCCUAUCUUUUUUUUUCUUUUUUACCGUUUCAUGGAUCAAUAAUCCGGCCGGGUUAUCGUGGUGGGAGGUCCGACUAAGGAAAGUUAGAUUACGCCGGGCCGGACUUCAGGAGAAUGCCGGGUUCAAGGUCCAGCCAAAGAGAAACCUCCUUGUCAGCCAGAGCCUACGUCGGACUAGAAAAAAAAGGGGUGGACAGGCGUUUGGGAGGGGGUUGGGCGUGCGUAGCCGUGCCGUAGAGGAGCGAGACGGCGCGGCGGCGGCGGCGGUACUUCGCGAGGAAGCUGCGGUACCUCCGCUUCGGCCACAAGGAGAGGUUCCUCCUCGCGGUCGCGGAGCGCGAGCUCGCGGCCGUCCGCCGGCAGCGGCUGGUCGCGGCGAGGCGCGAGCUGUAGGAGGUCAGCGAGGGGGCCGGGGGAGGCGGCGGAGGGGGCAGGCCGCGGGGGGCUCUGAGGAGGAGGAGGGUGGCGCUGGGGAGGCUGGCCCUGUCCCCCCUGUCCCUGGCGCUGGCCCUGGCCCUGGCCCUGGCCCUGGCGGCGGCGCUGCUGCUGAGGGCGGCCCUGGCUCUAGCCCUAGCGCUGGCGCUGGCGCUGCUCGGAAGGGCGGCCCUGGCCCUGGCACUGGCGCUGGCGCUGGCCCUGGCCCUGGCACUGGCGCUGGCGCUGGCCCUGGCCCUGGCCCUCGUGGCCCUGUCCCUCGCGCCCCUCGCCCUGUUCCUGUCCCUCUUCCUGGCCGACCUCUUCUACCGCCUCGCCCUCGCCCUCUUCCUCGACCUCCGGUAGUUCCUCGUCAUGGACCCCAGGUUCUUCGGGUUCUUCGCCCAGUAGUUCGGGAGCCUCUUCAAGGCGAAGAGGAAGCUGACCCUCUUGUGGCUCCUGUGGUCGGCGCUGUACUUGUACGAGAUGGUCCGCGGCGUGCUCCGGGCGGACGAGAUGCCGGCGCCGAAGGAGCGGCCGUAGCUGGCCGCGCUCGUCUUCUUCCGCCGGCGGCACAAACUCUUCCUCUGGGCGCGACUCGUCGCGGCGUUCAAGCCGCACCUCCUGGCCGGGCUCCUACUACACCGACUAUUCUUCUUCCGGCGGCGGCGCCUCUACAUGCUGCGGAAGCUGUACGCCCACCUGUCCGUGACCAGACUCUUCCCGUAGCUCCUCUACUGCCUCGCCCUAACCGCAUAAAAGGCCCUCCUGAAGUUAUAGAGGAUGUUCCCCAGAGCGUAUGGGGCCGGCUACGCGUUGACCGGGCUCUCGUUCGAACCCUGACUCGACGAAGCACGAUAACUCUUCCAACCCAUGUUCUUUGGCAGUGGGUAGGUCUACCGACGGUAAGGCGAACCAGAGGUCGUCGCACUACAGUAACCAUAACGUCUCUGACCAAGCCCGUUCUGACGGCGAAAACACGAAGGAUACGACAGCAUGUAAUGAGCGGACGGCGGAUAUUCGCUCCUGUUACUCCGACUCCCAGGAAUACGACAACAGUACCGUGGAUGAGCACUCGAACGAGUUGUCUAACUCCUUCUCUGCCACUUCAAACGUUGGAUAGAUCCGUAAUUUCAGCAAAGGUAACAACCACCAGUCAGCUAACUCCUCGUUCCAAAGUUCUAGUCCGUCCCGACACUUCAACAUUAACGUUGCGGACCAGCCGAAGAACUAACAGACCUCUCUUCCAUACGACACGAGUUGGUCACGUUGAUACAACAUGAACUACUCCGACUAUCCUACUAACUAUACCCUAAACUCGGUGUCCAACAACCACAGGAACUACGCUACGGUAGUUCAUUGGACUUUGGACUCUUACUCCUUCUCCUUGACCUACUCUUCUCCUAAAUGUCCUGUUGAAUAUACAAGUCACGAUGGUACGGUGGACGUCAACUCGCGGAACGAUCCUUCAUGGAGGCAUUGGGUCAACAGCAGUGUUAACCAUGUCGACCGUUCCGGUGUCUAGACUAUUGGGUUUUACACUAGUACCACUUCCUCAGUCUCUUCUACAGUGCUGAGGUCUUCUAUGAGUGUCUAGAACCCCUGUUCUGCCGGUAACAUAAGACGUUGUGUUUCUUCAGCCGUCUGUUGGCACGAUUCCUAGACCUGUUCCGUCCAAAGGCGCAGUGUCGUGACGUACCUCCCUUCAGUGUUCUAGUCUCCCUCUAGUCGGAACUACCUAAAUCCUUGGCGUCCAAGUUACAAGAACAUCGCUGACUACAACGUCCCGCACCAUAACUAUAAGGACUACAGCGAGUACAAUAAUUGAUACUCUACGGAUCAAGUCAACUAUGUAUGUGUGUAGCGUAGCCUUCUUGUCCCGCACGUCCUUUCUUCCCUGAACGUUGAAGUAAGAACUGGGACCUAUUGUGACUAUAAAAGAAGCUAGACUUUGUCUACGAAUGAGUCUCGUUAUCAGGGCAGGGAGGUCUUGAACGAUCCGUACUCCGCAGUUUCAAAUUCGGUCCUAGUCAAGGGCUAUCUGGAGGUUCUUCUUUACUGUGGCAGAUACGUAGAGUGACUUCGUUAGACGGCGUCUUCUCCACCUCUAGGAAGGACCCAUAUUAAGUCCCGGUGGUUGACACAGCUCUAAAUCAUGAAUACUCCAUGUUUGUAGUAUUGUUAACUUGUUAAUAGAAAAGGACAAACGUUUGGUCGGAAAGAUAAAGACAUUGGAUUCAUAUAAGCCUAUAAAGACACUACUAAGUCUUGACCUGGAUACAUAGAAUAAAAAGACAGCCACGGUAUUACGUUCAUACGUUGACAGUACGGGUUUGUAGCUGACGAAAACUUCACAAUAAACGUCUCCCGUUUACGAGUCAGAACUAGAAGUAACACCUCUAAAUACACCAAGAAAGUUUAAUCAGAGUUCUCCACGGUUGAAAGAAUAAAAGGAAAAAAACAAUACGUGAAGUCAUAAGUCAAGAUCUCUGUACAUAGUGAAAAAUUAAUUCGAUAUAAUUUUACUCUGAACUUUACUGACUCGAUGGUACAGUUUUUUUGUAAGGCUAACACAAUCCAGAGUGAUAUUAAAAUAAUAUGUGAAGUAAGUUCUUACUUAUCUUUCACGAAAACAAACCGAGUUGAAGACUCAAGAUCUGUUACUAAUAGUCACACGCGUCCACGACUUCGGACAACUUAUUGAUCGGAAUCUAGUUACCGAUACCAUCUUUAUAUCAGGUAAUACAUAUCAGUAAGAAACAACAAAGAAACCUAACUUAAAAAAACACUCUCUCAUGUCGAUCUCAAUUCACAAGUAUACAUCAGUAUACUCUCGUCAAUUCUAUCAACUAGCACGAGACGAGACACAAAACGCAAACAACUAACGGUGCAACUAUUUUAUACACAGUGUUACAUGUACUCCCAUUAUAGAACAUUAUAGAACAUACUCGUUAACUGGGUAAACCGGUAAAGACAUGAUCAGGACAUGUUAGUCACGUAUGACGACUUUGG